UUGCUGCCAUUGCUGCUGCCCAUUGGUUGUUUUUAGCUGUACAAGUAAUGCUGUUGUUAAAGGUGUGGACAUGAGAAAUAAACCAUGAAAGUUUAACAUAUGGAGUGGAUAUUGUAUGAAUCUACAGUAGGUUGGUUGGUAAGUAGGCUAUUGUGUUUAUAUGUGUGUCCAAAUGUGUGGUGGAAAGUGACCAAGGCAGGAAGCAUUGCCUUCGUAGGAUCUGGAACUUGUAUUUUGCUAAAAGAAAUAUUAUGACAGUGCUAUUCAGUGUGUGUUCACAAUGAGGGGUGAUUAGAGAUUGUUGGGUGUUUCCAGAGCCAGUGCCAGAAUAUUCAUGUCCUGUCUUGUCUUGAGACAGCAUUCACCCAGGGUGGGUUGAGCUGUCUUCAUUCAUCCUCAAUGCAGCAUCUCUUAGAAAAGCUGACCAGACCUGGCGAUUUGAGGCUAACAAACGCCAUAGAUAUGGGGGCCAAGGUUGGGUUCCAGACCAGCCUUGACUGUCAUCAGCCAGGUUUUCCGUUGUCCACCACUUCACUUUUGCCAACCCUGAAGGGGUGCUGGGGCAAUUGCUUCGUAGAUGAAUUCUCCUGGUUGACGACGGUGAGCAUGACCCAGCCAAUGCAGACGUCUUGUUAGGAUGACUUGUAGAGGGAGGUGAUUUUGCACUGGUGUCGCACCAACAUUCCUCAUGUUCAUCGCAGCGUAUUCAUGGCCUUAGGUCUGCCCUACAACCUGUUCUCUCUGUACAACAAUGAGAGCCUCCUUCUCUUGUGCCAUGACAACAAGCUGGAAAUCACCAUGCUGAUCUACGUAGAGUCUAACAAUCCAACGGUCAGUUCUUUGAGGAGGUGAAGGAAAUCCUUUUUGCUGUCUCCUUAGCAGCCUAAUGGCCUUAGUUUAUAUCUCUUCAUGUGUGUUUAUGGAUAUCAAAUAUUAAAGGCUAUGCGUGGGAGGAUUGUGUAUUCAUGUCCAGAAGCUUAGUGGUCAAAAGAUACAUCAUUUACUGUACCAAGGGUUUAUAUAUAUUCCCAUGUAUGCAUAAAAUGUUUUAAAUAAAUAAACAAAUGAAAAUUGUUA